UUUUCCUACGGGACGCAGCAGUGGGGAAUAUUGCACAAUGGGGGAAACCCUGAUGCAGCAACGCCGCGUGAAGGAAGACGGUUUUCGGAUUGUAAACUUCUGUUCUUAGUGAAGAAAAAUGACGGUAGCUAAGGAGCAAGCCACGGCUAACUACGUGCCAGCAGCCGCGGUAAUACGUAGGUGGCAAGCGUUAUCCGGAUUUACUGGGUGUAAAGGGCGUGUAGGCGGGACUGCAAGUCAGAUGUGAAAAUUAUGGGCUCAACCCAUAACCUGCCUUUGAAACUGUAGUUCUUGUGUGAUGGAGG
rnacentral:rRNA from 1 species